rnacentral:lncRNA from 1 species
UUUUGACAAGCAUUAAAAUCCAAAUUGUUAGCACUGGCUCUCAAUCACGUGGAUUUUAGUAUAAAUCUAUAUGUGUAUUUAUUUCCAUAUUUCAAAAGUAUAAUUAAUAAAAUACCACACAGAAAAAAUACGAAUAAAAUGUUUACACAUAUUAUCUAACAAAAAAAGUGAUAUAGAGUAUUUCAAUAUUAAUUAUUCAAAAUUUUAAAGUGUAGUAUUUUUAUUUAAUAUAUGUGCAAGAUAUGUGUAUAAUAGAUGAAGUUUACUUGCUUUGACCAAAAAAAAAAGAAAAAAGGAUGAAGUUUACUUGUAUUAUUUAAUAAUGUGCAAAUUUUCUAACUAAAUUUUAAAGGAUUAUCCGCACCACUAAGGAGAUCAUUACGUUUAUUUUUUGGAAAAUGAAAUUCUCAAUUUAUAGAUUGUGCGUCAUAUGAGAAUGAAUAUGAUUACCAUUAACAAGUCCUUAACUUGGUUUUUCAAUUUUUUUUUCUUUUGAUAGUAAUUAGUUAAUUGAAGGAAGUUAGAAAAAAAUUUUAAAAAAAAGAAGUUGUUAUGGAAGGAAGUUGAGGUUCCACCUCAAAACCAAUUGGUAAUGGGAGAGUAGUCUAACUCCUUAUAAACCCAGAUUUAAUCUCUUAACUUUUCAAUGUGAGACAAAUACUCGCCACAGUUAUAUAAUAUAAUGAGCAUUAUGUCAACUUAAAUUCAAGAUUAUAGAGCUCUUUGGUUCAAACUUUCCUCAGCAUCUUCGUGUUUGAGGUCGGACAAAACGUCCAAUCCAAUAUUAUGGAGAAUUCCUCUUCCAACCCAGAAAUCAACAUGAACAUAUACGUGCAUAAGAGAUAAUGGGAAUCCUAGACCACUAAAAGUAUCUACUUUCUUCGAUUGGGCCACGAGCUAUGACUAUUGAUCUUGGCCGAGUCAAUAUUCAUCCAAAAUUCAAGUAGUUAAGAAACCGUGUAAACUGUAGCCGGGUCCAUUACACAAGAUAAGGAAAGACUUUAAUGUCAACAAGUCAAUCCAUAAAGCAACAUCACAUUCGCAUCACAAUUUCCACAAUGUUCAUAGUCUCUCAAUCCGACAUAUUAGUAUCCCCUUGCAAAAAAAAAAAAAAAAAAUGUAGAGUUUUGCUUCUUUUGGUUGUUAAAUAUUUAAAAAUUCGAGUUUAAUUGAGUUUAACUUGGAAUUAAAUGCACUGAAAAUUUCUGGAUUAAAAUCCAGUGUAUUAAACCCGCUAAUUUUUUUGGGAGCAACCAGACCUACAAUUAAUAUGUUAUUUUUAAUUUUUCUAUUUACUAUGGAUAACCGCUUAAAUAUUACACAUAAUAAGUUUAGUAAGAAUUAUUUGAGAACUUGAGAUAUGGUUGAGUAUAAUUAGUCUCGUUGAACAAUAAAAACCAAUCAAGCCUUCUAAAUCCAAUUUCUAAUAUACACUGACU